UAAUGUCUGGGAAAACGGCCUGAUGGAGGGGGAUAACUACUGGAAACGGUAGCUAAUACCGCAUAAUGUCGCAAGACCAAAGUGGGGGACCUUCGGGCCUCAUGCCAUCAGAUGUGCCCAGAUGGGAUUAGCUAGUAGGUGGGGUAACGGCUCACCUAGGCGACGAUCCCUAGCUGGUCUGAGAGGAUGGCCAGCCACACUGGAACUGAGACACGGUCCAG
rnacentral:rRNA from 1 species